GACGAACGCUGACGGCGUGCUUAACCCAUGCCAGUCGAAGGGGGUGGCGAACGGGUGAGUAACACGUGAGUAACCUGCCCUUUUCUAUGGGAUAAGCAUGGGAAACUGGGUCUAAUACUGGAUGGGUUGGGAUGGGCUCGCGGCUUAGCAGCUUGUUGGUGUGGUGAUGGCUUACCAAGGCUUUGACGUGUAGCCGGCAUGAGAGGGUGGGCGGUCACUCGGGGACUGAGAUACGGCCCAGACUCCUACGGGAGGCAGCAGUGGGGGAUAUUGCACAAUGGACGAAAGUCUGAUGCAGCGACGUCGUGUGGGGGAUGAAGGCCUUCGGGUUGUAAACUCCUUUCGCCCGCGGAAUGGUAGUGGGUAAAGAAGCGCCGGCUAACUACGUGCCAGCAGCCGCGGUAAUUC
rnacentral:rRNA from 1 species